rnacentral:rRNA from 1 species
UACGUAGGGCGCAAGCGUUAAUCGGAAUUACUGGGCGUAAAGCGUGCGCAGGCGGUUUUGUAAGUCUGAUGUGAAAUCCCCGGGCUUAACCUGGGAAUUGCGAUGAAGACUGCAAGGCUAGAAUCUGGCAGAGGGGGGUAGAAUUCCACGUGUAGCAGUGAAAUGCGUAGAGAUGUGGAGGAACACCGAUGGCGAAGGCAGCCCCCUGGGUCAAGAUUGACGCUCAUGCACGAAAGCGUGGGGAGCAAACAGG